UCGACGAUUGGAAGGGGUGUAUUUAUUAGAUUAAAAGCCAACGCCCUUCGGGGCUCUUUGGUGAUUCAUAAUAACUGGUCGAAUCGCAUGGCCUUGCGCCGGCGAUGGUUCAUUCAAAUUUCUUCCCUAUCAACUUUCGAUGCGAGGGUCUUGUCCUCGCAUGGUUGCAACGGGUAACGGAGGGUUAGGGCUCGACCCCGGAGAAGGAGCCUGAGAAACGGCUACUACAUCCAAGGAAGGCAGCAGGCGCGCAAAUUACCCAAUCCCGACACGGGGAGGUAGUGACAAUAAAUACUGAUACAGGGCUCUUUUGGGUCUUGUAAUCGGAAUGAGUACAAUUUAAAUCCCUUAACGAGGAACAAUUGGAGGGCAAGUCUGGUGCCAGCAAAUC
rnacentral:rRNA from 1 species